rnacentral:rRNA from 1 species
UACAUGUGGGGCAAGCGUUGUCCGGAAUCAUUGGGCGUAAAGCGCGCGUAGGUGGCUUCGUAAGUCCGUUGUGAAAGUCAAAGGCUCAACCUUUGAAAGCCGAUGGAUACUGCGGAGCUAGAGUACGGAAGAGGCGAGUGGAAUUCCUGGUGUAGCGGUGGAAUGCGCAGAUAUCAGGAGGAACACCAAUGGCGAAGGCAGCUCGCUGGAACGGUACUGACGCUGAGGCGCGAAAGCGUGGGGAGCAAACAGG